GUAGGGUCCGAGCGUUAUCCGGAAUCAUUGGGCGUAAAGAGCUCGUAGGCGGUUCAGCAAGUCGGCUGUGAAAGUUCGAGGCUCAACCUCGAAAUUGCAGUCGAUACUGCUGUGACUUGAAUUCGGUAGAGGAGAAUGGAAUUCCCGGUGUAGCGGUGAAAUGCGCAGAUAUCGGGAGGAACACCAGUAGCGAAGGCGGUUCUCUGGGCCGAUAUUGACGCUGAGGAGCGAAAGCGUGGGGGGAGCAAACAGGAUUAGAUACCCUGGUAGUCCACGCCCGUAAACGUUGGAUGCUAGGUGUGGCGGUCUACCAAUGACUGCCGUGCCGAAGCUAACGCAUUAAGCAUCCCGCCUGGGGAGUACGGCCGCAAGGCUA
rnacentral:rRNA from 1 species